AACGAACGCUGGCGGCAUGCCUAACACAUGCAAGUCGAACGAGACCUUCGGGUCUAGUGGCGCACGGGUGCGUAACGCGUGGGAACCUGCCCUUAUGUUCGGAAUAACUCCCCGUAAGGGGUGCUAAUACCGGUUAAUUUCUUCGGACCAAAGAUUUAUCGCCUUUGGAUGGGCCCGCGUUGUAUUAGCUAGUUGGUAGGGUAAAAGCAUACCAAGGCGACGAUCCAUAGCUGGUCUGAGAGGAUAAUCAGCCACACUGGGACUGAGACACGGCCCAGACUCCUACGGGAGGCAGCAGUGGGGAAUAUUGGAAAAUGGGCGAAAGCCUGAUCAAGCAAUGCCGCGUGAGUGAUGAAGGCCUUAGGGUAGUAAAGCUCUUUUACCCGGGAUGAUAAUGACAGUACCGGGAGAAUAAGCUCCGGCUAACUCCGUG
rnacentral:rRNA from 1 species